rnacentral:misc_RNA from 1 species
GAAUUGCGAUAAGUAAUGUGAAUUGCAGAAUUCAGUGAAUCAUCGAAUCUUUGAACGCACAUUGCGCUCCUGGGUAUUCCCGGGAGCACGCCUGUUUGAGAAUCGAUAAAUCCCUCCCGAAUCAAUUGUUUUGGAUUUCGGUCCAUGCUUGGGUUUGGAUUUGGAUGUUUGCCGGUGAUGAACCGACUCAUCUUAAAAGUAUUAGCUGGAUCUGUCUAUAUGACUGGUUUGACUUGGCAUAAUAAGUAUUUUGCUGAGGACAUCUUCGGAUGGCCAGUACCUAGACUACUGUCUGCUAACUAAACCAUCACUUUAAGUGCAUCUUUGGAUGUUACUCAUUGUGUAACUUUGACAUCUGGCCUCAAAUCAAGUAGGACUACCCGCUGAACUUAA